rnacentral:rRNA from 1 species
UACGUAGGGUGCAAGCGUUAUCCGGAAUUAUUGGGCGUAAAGAGCUCGUAGGCGGUUCCGUAAGUCAGAUGUGAAAACUCAGGGCUCAACCCGGAGACGCCAUCUGAUACUGCGGUGACUGGAGUCUGGUAGGGGAACACGGAAUUCCUGGUGUAGCGGUGAAAUGCGCAGAUAUCAGGAGGAACACCGAUGGCGAAGGCAGUGUUCUGGGCCAGUACUGACGCUGAGGAGCGAAAGCAUGGGGAGCGAACAGG